rnacentral:rRNA from 1 species
UACGAAGGGGGCUAGCGUUGCUCGGAAUCACUGGGCGUAAAGGGUGCGUAGGCGGGUCUUUAAGUCAGGGGUGAAAUCCUGGAGCUCAACUCCAGAACUGCCUUUGAUACUGAAGAUCUUGAGUUCGGGGAGAGGUGAGUGGAACUGCGAGUGUAGAGGUGAAAUUCGUAGAUAUUCGCAAGAACACCAGUGGCGAAGGCGGCUCACUGGCCCGAUACUGACGCUGAGGCACGAAAGCGUGGGGAGCAACAGG